AACGAACGCUGGCGGCAUGCCUAACACAUGCAAGUCGAACGAGACCUUCGGGUCUAGUGGCGCACGGGUGCGUAACGCGUGGGAACCUGCCCUUAGGUUCGGAAUAACUCCCCGAAAGGGGUGCUAAUACCGGAUAAUGUCUUCGGACCAAAGAUUUAUCGCCUUUGGAUGGGCCCGCGUUGGAUUAGCUAGUUGGUAGGGUAAAAGCCUACCAAGGCGACGAUCCAUAGCUGGUCUGAGAGGAUGAUCAGCCACACUGGGACUGAGACACGGCCCAGAACCCUACGGGAGGAAGCAGUGGGGAAUAUGGGAAAAGGGGAGAAAGCCUGAACAAGAAAUGCCGGGGGAGUGAUGAAGGCCUUAGGGUUGAAAAGCUCUUUUACCCGGGAUGAUAAGGACAGUACCGGGAGAAAAAGCCCCGGCUAACUCCGU
rnacentral:rRNA from 1 species